GGUGUGAUGGCCGAGUGGUCUAAGGCGGCAGAUUUAAGUACUUCUAUACAUAAACUCUGCUGGAGCAAUCCGCGCGAGUUCGAACCUCGUUCACACCA